rnacentral:tRNA from 1 species
GCUGUUAUAGUAUAAUAAUUACCUUACAUUUUCAUUGUAAAAAUAAGAGGCUACUCUUUAACGGUA